rnacentral:rRNA from 1 species
GUGGGGAAUAUUGGACAAUGGGCGAAAGCCUGAUCCAGCCAUGCCGCGUGUGUGAAGAAGGUCUUCGGAUUGUAAAGCACUUUAAGUUGGGAGGAAGGGCAGUAAGUUAAUACCUUGCUGUUUUGACGUUACCAACAGAAUAAGCACCGGCUAACUUCGUGCCAGCAGCCGCGGUAAUACGAAGGGUGCAAGCGUUAAUCGGAAUUACUGGGCGUAAAGCGCGCGUAUGUGGUUCAGCAAGUUGAAGGUGAAAGCCCCGGGCUCAACCUGGGAACUGCCUCCAAAACUACUGAGCUAGAGUACGGUAGAGGGUAGUGGAAUUUCCUGUGUAGCGGUGAAAUGCGUAGAUAUAGGAAGGAACACCAGUGGCGAAGGCGACUACCUGGACUGAUACUGACACUGAGGUGCGAAAGCGUGGGGAGCAAACAGGAUUAGAUACCCGUGUAGUCC